AGACACCUUUUUUGGAGCAAGUGAUAUUUAAAGAUAGUGACCAGAGAUGAAAAAUGGAUUAUUUAUAAUAAUGUUGAACGGAAAAGAUCUUGAGAAAGCGGAUUGAAUCACCUUUAGCCAUCGCAGAAGUCGAUCUCCAUCCGAAAAAAGCCAUGCUUUGUGUCUGGUGGGACUGGAAAGGAAUCCUGUAUUAUGAACUUUUACCAAACAACCAAACAAUAUAUUUGGAAAAGUAUUGCUCGCAAUUAAACAAAUUGAAGACAGCAAAUUGAACAAAAACGUUCAGAACUACCAAAUCCGAAGGGCGUCGCGUUUCGUGAGGACAAUGCGCGGCCUCGUGUCUCUCUGACUACUCGACAAAAGCUGUUGACCAUGGUUGGGAUAUGUUACCCCACCCACGGAUUCACCAGACAUUACAUCCUUAGAUUUUUACAUAUCUAGAUCAGUACAAAAUUCCCUUAACGGCAAAAACUUUAACUCUUUGCAUAUAAAAAAUCAUAUUCUAAAGUUUAUAGCCGAAAAACCUGAGAAGUUCUGAAAGGAUGAAAUAUUCAAGUUGCAUGAUAGAUGGAUAGAGGUUGUGUAAGAAAGGGAACAAAUGGUAGACACCUAUAUAAUUCGAUAAAUGUAUAUCAAAAUUUAAAUGCGCUGCGUUUGAACUUUCCCAAGAACUACGACCAUCUAAUUUGUUUAUUUCAUAUCCAUGACGUUAAUUUUAUUAAUGAUCUCUCAU